rnacentral:rRNA from 1 species
UGGGGAAUAUUGGACAAUGGAGGAAACUCUGAUCCAGCAAUUCUGUGUGUGUGAAGAAGGUUUUAGGACUGUAAAACACUUUUAGUAGGGAAGAAAAAAAUGACGGUACCUACAGAAGAAGCAACGGCUAAAUACGUGCCAGCAGCCGCGGUAAUACGUAUGUUGCGAGCGUUAUCCGGAAUUAUUGGGCUUAAAGGGCAUCUAGGCGGUAAGACAAGUUGAAGGUGAAAACCUGUGGCUCAACCAUAGGCUUGCCUACAAAACUGUUGAACUAGAGUACUGGAAAGGUGGGUGGAACUACACGAGUAGAGGUGAGAUUCGUAGAUAUGUGUAGGAAUGCCGAUGAUGAAGAUAACUCACUGGACAGAAACUGACGCUGAAGUGCGAAAGCUAGGGGGGCAAACAGG